rnacentral:lncRNA from 10 species
UCUGGGAAGGAGCGCAACACCGGGCGGAGAGCGCCCCCACCCCAACCCUACCCCUUCCCUCCGGAAACUGCCUUCGCCCCAGGAACCAGAGACAGACCACUUCACCCACAAAUCUUUAUUGUGCCCCCAAGCCCACACCUAUACGAGGGCCAGGGGAAGCUGUGUUCCUGCCCAAGGCAGCACCCACACUUGCAUUUGGCUGAGAGCCUCUCCCUUCCUGCUUUCUCUGGUGUUGUGAGAAGUCAGGGACCCUGACUGGAGGGACCGGCUGGAGCCGAGGCAGAAGAACAUAAAUUGUGAAGAUUUCAUGGACAUUUAUCAGUUCCCCAAAUUAAUACUUUUAUAAUUUCUUAUGCCUGUCUUUAUUGCAAUCUCUGAACAUAAAUUGUGAAGAUUUCAUGGACAUUUAUUAUUUCCCCAAUAAUACUCUUAUAAUUUCUUAUGCCUGUCUUUAAUCUCUUAAUCCUGUUAUCUUCAUAAGCCGAGAAUAUACAUCACCUCAGGACCACUAUUGUACAAAUUGAUUGUAGAACUUGUGUGUUUGAACAAUAUGAAAUCUGAUUGUAAAAUAUGUGUGUUCGAACAAUAUGAAAUCAGUGCACCCUGAAAAAGAACAGAAUAUCAGCAAUUUUCAGGGAACAAGGGAAGAUAACCAUAAGGUCUGACUGCCUGCAGGGUCGGGCAGAAUAGAGCCAUAUUUUUCUUCUUUCAGGGAGCCUAUAAAUGGAUGUGCGAGUAGGAGAAAUAUCGCUGAAUUAUUUUCCCAGCAAGGAAUAUUAAUAAUUGAUACCCUAGGGAAGGAAUGCAUUCCUGGGGGAAGGUCUAUAGACGGCCACUCUGGGAGUUUGUGUCUUAUGUGGUUGAGAUAAGGACUGAAAUAUGCCCUGGUCUCCUGCAGUACCCUCAGGCUUACUAGGAUUGGGAAAUUCCAGCCUGGUAAAUUCUAGUCAGACCGGUUGUCUGCUCUCAAACCUUGUUUCCUGUUAAGAUGUUUAUCAAGACAAUCUGUGUACAAUGGGACAUAGACCCUCAUCAGUAAUUCUAAUUUUGCCUUUGCCUUGUGAUCUUUAUUGUUCUUUGAAGUAUGUGAUCCUUGUGACCUACUCCCUGUUUGUACACCCCCUCCCCUUUUAAAAUCCCUAAUAAAAACUUGCUGGUUUUGUGGCUUGGGGUCACCAUCACGGUCCUACCAAUGUGUGAUGAUACUCCCGGAGGCCCAGCUG